AGCACUCAGCCACCGCAAGUUUCAGUUGAAGCAUCUUUCCCCUAGCCAUCUGCAAAAUCAAACAAAACUUAAGUACCAUAGGUGAAUGAGGGAAAAAGUGAAAAUUUUGAAACUAUAAAUUUACUUUUGGAAUGAUUUUCCCUUUACAGAAUUUUAAAGCUCUCACAAUAGAUAGCUAUCCCAUAAGUCGUAUCAGAAAUAACUUGAGUUUCAAACAGUUUUUACUGAAGGCAAAAAACAGCAUGUCAAAAGUUGCAAAAGGUUCAUACGGGAGAGCGUACCAAAGACUGGAUGCACAGUUAUACAACAACCUCGCAAGGUUUAUAUAUUUAAUUACUGAUUGACUGAAACAAAGUUAAUUAUUUGUUGUUUCUGUUUCAUAUUUGACUCGUGACUGAAUAACUAGGAUAUGAAGUUAUUUAUGCAUAGCGAAAAUAUCAAUGAAGUUUAAAUUGGUUGAA